GAGCAUGAAGGCAUAGCACGGAUGCAGGCACAGACAGGCAGUACUGCAGAGAUGCAACCUCUGCCUACUAACCUCAAGUGAAAGUACCUCCUGCUC
ensembl:miRNA gga-mir-1623 gga-mir-1623